rnacentral:rRNA from 1 species
UGCAAGUCGAGCGAUGAAGCUGGAGCUUGCUCCGGCCGAUUAGUGGCGAACGGGUGAGUAACACGUGAGCAAUCUGCCCUUGACUCUGGGAUAACUGCGGGAAACUGUAGCUAAUACCGGAUACUUUCCUCGCUGGGCAUCCAGCGGGGAAGAAAGAAUUUCGGUCAAGGAUGAGCUCGCGGCCUAUCAGCUAGUUGGUGAGGUAAAGGCUCACCAAGGCGACGACGGGUAGCCGGCCUGAGAGGGUGACCGGCCACACUGGAACUGAGACACGGUCCAGACUCCUACGGGAGGCAGCAGUGGGGAAUAUUGCACAAUGGGCGAAAGCCUGAUGCAGCAACGCCGCGUGAGGGAUGAAGGCCUUCGGGUUGUAAACCUCUUUUAGCAGGGAAGAAGCGAAAGUGACGGUACCUGCAGAAAAAGCACCGGCUAACUACGUGCCAGCAGCCGCGGUAAUACGUAGGGUGCAAGCGUUGUCCGGAAUUAUUGGGCGUAAAGAGCUCGUAGGCGGUUUGUCACGUCUGCUGUGAAAAUCCGAGGCUCAACCUCGGACUUGCAGUGGGUACGGGCAGGCUAGAGUGCGGUAGGGGAGAAGGGAAUUCCUGGUGUAGCGGUGGAAUGCGCAGAUAUCAGGAGGAACACCAAUGGCGAAGGCACUUCUCUGGGCCGUAACUGACGCUGAGGAGCGAAAGCGUGGGGAGCGAACAGGAUUAGAUACCCUGGUAGUCCACGCCGUAAACGGUGGGUGCUAGCUGUGGGCCACAUUCCACGUGGUCCGU